rnacentral:rRNA from 1 species
AUACGUAGGGUGCAAGCGUUGUCCGGAAUUACUGGGUGUAAAGGGUGCGUAGGCGGAUUUGUGCGUCAGAGGUUAAAGACCACGGCUUAACUGUGGAAAUGCCUUUGAUACGGCAAGUCUUGAGUGUAGGUGAGGAUGAUGGAAUUCCUGGUGUAGCGGUGAAAUGCGUAGAUAUCAGGAGGAACACCGGAGGCGAAGGCGGUCAUCUAACCUACUACUGACGCUGAGGCACGAAAGCGUGGGGAUCAAACAGGAUCAGAUACCCUGGUAGUCCACGCCCUAAACGAUGUAUGCUUGGUGUUAGAUGCUAGUCAUCUAGUGCCGGAGGUAACCCGUUAAGCAUACCACCUGGGGAGUACGAUCGCAAGGUUGAA